rnacentral:rRNA from 1 species
CGUGAGGGAAAGGUGAAAAGAACCCCGGGAGGGGAGUGAAAUAGAACCUGAAACCGUAUGCUUACAAAAAGUUCGAGCCCGUUAAUGGGUGAGAGCGUGCCUUUUGCAGAAUGAACCGGCGAGUUAUUGUAUUAUGCAAGGUUAAGUCGAACAGAUGGAGCCGAAGCGAAAGCGAGUCUGAAUAGGGCGCUUAAGUAUGAUGCAAUAGACCCGAAACCGAGUGAUCUAGCCAUGAGCAGGUUGAAGUUGGGGUAAGACCCAAUGGAGGACCGAACCGAUAUGCCCGGAAACGCGUACGGAUGACUUGUGGUUAGCGGAGAAAUUCCAAACGAACUCGGAGAUAGCUGGUUCUCCCCGAAAUAGGUUUAGGCCUAGCCUUGAUUGAAUCUGCCCGGAGGUAGAGCACUGAAUGUGCGAUGGCGUCGUCUAGAUGUACUGAGUACAAUCAAACUCCGAAUGCUGGGUAGUACUAAUCAGGAGUCACUGUAUGGGUGAUAACGUCCAUACGGGAGAGGAAAACAAUCCGGAUCGCCAGCUAAGGUCCCAAAAUUUGUGUUAAGUGGGAAAGGAUGUAGAGUUGUCAAAACAGCUAGGAGGUUGGCUUAGAAGCAGCCACCCUUUAAAGAGUGCGUAAUAGCUCACUAGUCGAGUGACACUGCGCCGAAGAUGUACCGGGGCUAAACACAAUACCGAAGCUGCGGACUUGCACGUAAGUGUAAGUGGUAGGGGAGCGUUCUAAGGGCGUUGAAGGUAGAUCGUGAGGACUAUUGGAGCGCUUAGAAGUGAGAAUGCCGGUGUGAGUAACGAAAAUUGGGUGAGAAUCCCAUUCACCGUUUGACUAAGGGUUCCUGGGUAAAGUUCGUCUUCCCAGGGUAAGUCAGGACCUAAGAUGAGGCUGAAAAGCGUAGUCGAUGGACAACAGGUUGAUAUUCCUGUACCACCUAUAUGACUGAAGGAGUGACGGAGAAAGCUAACGAGGGCCAGUUAAUGGAUUCUGGUCUAAGUGCGUAGGCUAGUAUGUUGGCAAAUCCGCAAUACUAUAAUAGCUGAAACAUGAUGGGGAAGUAAGUCUUCGGACGAGCGAACUCUCGUGAUGCUAUGCUUCCAAGAAAAGCUUCUAGGGCUAAUUGUAUAGGUGCCUGUACCGACAACCGACACAGGUGGUCAAGGAGAGUAUCCUAAGGUGAGCGAGAGAACUAUGGUUAAGGAACUCGGCAAAAUGACCCCGUAACUUCGGGAGAAGGGGUGGUCUAGCGAUAGACCCGCAGUGAAUAGGCCCAGGCAACUGUUUACCAAAAACACAGGUCUCUGCUAACACGAAAGUGGAUGUAUAGGGGCUGACGCCUGCCCAGUGCUGGAAGGUUAAAGAGAUUAGUUAGUAUGACGUAAGUCGAUAAUACGAAGCUUUGAACUGAAGCCCCAGUGAACGGCGGCCGUAACUAUAACGGUCCUAAGGUAGCGAAAUUCCUUGUCAGGUAAGUUCUGACCCGCACGAAAGGCGUAAUGAUCUGGGUACUGUCUCAACCAUAGACUCGGUGAAAUCUUAAUACCUGUGAAAAUGCAGGUUACCCGCGACUGGACGGAAAGACCCCGUGGAGCUUUACUGUAGCUUGAUAUUGGGAUUCGGUAAAUUAUGUAGAGCAUAGGUGGGAGACUAUGAGAUUAAGGCGCCAGCCUUAAAGGAGUCAUCAUUGGAAUACCACCCUUAGUUUAUUGAAUUUCUAACCUAGGACCAUGAUCUGGUUCAGGGACAGUGUCUGGUGGGCAGUUUGACUGGGGCGGUCGCCUCCUAAAAUGUAACGGAGGCGUUCAAAGGUUCCCUCAGAAUGGUUGGAAAUCAUUCGCAGAGCGUAAAGGUAUAAAGGGAGCUUGACUGCGAGACCUACAAGUCAAGCAGGUGCGAAAGCAGGACUUAGUGAUCAGGCGAUUCAGAAUGGAAUGGUCGUCGCUUAACGGAUAAAAGUUACCCCGGGGAUAACAGGCUGAUACCACCCAAUAGUUCACAUAGACGGUGGUGUUUGGCACCUCGAUGUCGGCUCGUCAUAUCCUGGAGGUGGAGUUGCUUCCAAGGGUUGGGCUGUUCGCCCAUUAAAGUGGCACGCGAGCUGGGUUCAGAACGU